AAAAUGCAUCAAUCCUAAGGAGAUGUUUUUUGCUCUUCUUCUCCUUUAAUUUGCUAUGGGUCAAGUUACAAAUUCGACCUUUGUGUCUGAAUCAACAUACAAGGAAAAAGGUGAAUGAGGAGAUCUAUAAUAGGAUAUAAAGAAUUCUAUUUCACAAGGUGUAUGUGAACCGCUUGGAUCUUAAGAGAAUGAUAGAAACAAAAAAAAAGUUGAAAAUAAAUUUUUUGAAUGCUUUUACUCAUGUGACGUCAUUGUUAAUUAUAAUUGUAAUUGUAAUUGUAAUUGUAAUAUAUAAUAUACAUGAAAAGUACUGGUGUAACUUGACUAAGAGGUUGUCAAAAUAGAUUAAUUUCCAUACAUGUAUCAUCUAUAGUUUAAACAUAGUUGAUUGAGUAAAGUUUAUAUAUGCACUUUAUAUUGAUCGACGAACAAUUUGUGUUCUUCUUUUGAAG